UUUUGAUAAAAGGCAAAAGAGUUGUAACAUUUCUUUAAGAAUCAGAUCAACAUGAAUCCCUCAUCACUUCUCAUAAUCCUACUACAACACAAUACAAUAUUAAUAACAACUACUACUACUAAAACUAGUAGCUGUACACAUUACUAUAUGCUACAGAUUGCCUGGAAAAUGCAAACAGAUCUAAAAGACUAAAACUUUGAUGAACUAUGAUGAUAACACAAGUCAGAAAUAGACAGCAAAUGUAAAGCAAAGAGCAUACAAAUCAAGAAUCAUCAAAACGAGCGUACUCCAACUUGUUUGGGAUUGAGUUGUCGUCGUUGUUGUCAACAUAAGGCCUUAGAGAGAGAGAGCUAUGAUUCAGGCUUUGCAUUCUUGUUCUUGUGAACCUCGCCUAAGACCUUCACGAAUGCUUCCACAAUCUGCUUCUGUGAUUCGAGUAUCAUCUCGUUACGUUUCAUCUCCAUCUCCAUUCUCAUUUGCUCUACUUCCUUUGCCAUUUCCAUCUUCAUUUUCUCCAUUUUCAUGAACCCUUCGCCUAAUAACUUAAUCGAUAAAACCAUCUCUUCCACCGGAUCCCUCCCCCUCUUCAUCCCUAAACCACCACCACCUCCUCCCUUCUUCCCGAAUUUCG
rnacentral:misc_RNA from 1 species